rnacentral:rRNA from 1 species
UGCAAGUCGAACGGUAAGGCCCCUUCGGGGGUACACGAGUGGCGAACGGGUGAGUAACACGUGAGCAACCUACCCUUGACUCUGGAAUAACGGUUGGAAACAGCCGCUAAUACCGGAUACGACCUUGAGCGUCAUCGCUCGAGGUGGAAAGCUCCGGCGGUCAGGGAUGGGCUCGCGGCCUAUCAGCUAGUUGGUGAGGUAACGGCUCACCAAGGCUUCGACGGGUAGCCGGCCUGAGAGGGCGACCGGCCACACUGGGACUGAGAUACGGCCCAGACUCCUACGGGAGGCAGCAGUGGGGAAUAUUGCACAAUGGGCGAAAGCCUGAUGCAGCAACGCCGCGUGUGGGAUGACGGCCUUCGGGUUGUAAACCACUUUCAGCGCCGACGAAGCGAAAGUGACGGUAGGCGCAGAAGAAGCACCGGCCAACUACGUGCCAGCAGCCGCGGUGAUACGUAGGGUGCGAGCGUUGUCCGGAAUUAUUGGGCGUAAAGGGCUCGUAGGCGGUCCGUCACGUCGGAAGUGAAAACUCGGGGCUUAACCCCGAGCCUGCUUCCGAUACGGGCAGACUAGAGGAAUGCAGGGGAGAAUGGAAUACCUGGUGGAGCGGUGGAAUGCGCAGAUAUCAGGUGGAACACCAGUGGCGAAGGCGGUUCUCUGGGCAUUUCCUGACGCUGAGGAGCGAAAGCGUGGGGAGCAAACAGGCUUAGAUACCCUGGUAGUCCACGCCGUAAACGGUGGGCACUAGGUGUGGGACUCAUUCCACGAGUUCCGUGCCGAAGCUAACGCAUUAAGUGCCCCGCCUGGGGAGUACGGCCGCAAGGCUAAAACUCAAAGGAAUUGACGGGGGCCCGCACAAGCGGCGGAGCAUGCGGAUUAAUUCGAUGCAACGCGAAGAACCUUACCUAGGUUUGACAUAUACCGGAAAGCUGCAGAGAUGUAGCCCCCGCAAGGUCGGUAUACAGGUGGUGCAUGGCUGUCGUCAGCUCGUGUCGUGAGAUGUUGGGUUAAGUCCCGCAACGAGCGCAACCCUCGUCCUAUGUUGCCAGCACGUAAUG